CUGAACUAUAAGUUUAUAUUCUUUUUUUUUCUACAUGUCUCAGUAGACGGGUAGUCCUUUCCUCACCAAGUGUCUACCCUCCUUUUCCAUAGGUGGCUGGCUGACACAUUGGCUAUUGUCAGCUGGGAAAGUCUGCAAGAAGACCUCCUGCACAAAAUAGCACAUUGUGAACUGACAAGGAUGUAAAAAUCCCUCCCUCCGUUUCCAUCCUCUUCUGAGACAGUACUUGGGGUUCAGACCCACUGCCCAGAUCUCUGCUGUUGCUGCCUUCUGUCUUCUGUGUCUUGGCCCUUGGCAUAUGAGAGUACUGAUCAUCAAAUAUUACAUCCCACUCAAAAUGCUGUCUUGAGAAAUUGUUAUGGGCGAGUUGCAUUACAGAAUGUGGCUUAUGUGAUGGUCAUAUAGCAGCAGAGACAGGUUGGGGCAGAUAUUCCACUGAUAAAAAUCCUUAGAUCCCUGCUGGAAUCAGUGUAUCAAUGGGAUGGUGGCAGCCUGUACCAAGCAGAGGUCUGUCACAGCAUCUGCAGAAAGGUAAGAGAGAUGCCAUGCAGAGAAACAAAGCCAACCAAAGUUGCUGGAAUUGAUCUAGUCAUUGGUAAUAAAAAUGAGACCUAAAAAAAAAAAAAAAUAGAA
rnacentral:lncRNA from 1 species